GAUGAACGCUGGCGGUAUGCCUUACACAUGCAAGUCGUACGAGAGUUUUUAACUCAAGUGGCGGACGGGUGAGUAACACGUAAGAAUUUACCUUUAGGAGGGGGAUAACAGCUGGAAACGGUUGCUAAUACCCCAUAUGCUUUCGAGUGAAAUGGGUUUCCGCCUAAAGAAAAGCUUGCGGCUGAUUAGCUUGUUGGUGAGGUAAUGGCUCACCAAGGCGACGAUCAGUAUCUGGUUUGAGAGGAUGAUCAGACACACUGGAACUGAGACACGAUCCAGACUCCUACGGGAGGCAGCAGUGGGGAAUUUUCCGCAAUGGGCGAAAGCCUGACGGAGCAAUACCGCGUGAGGGAUGAAGGCCUAUGGGUUGUAAACCUCUUUUUUCAGGGAGGAAUCAAUGACGUGUACCUGAAGAAUAAGCAUCGGCUAACUCCGUGCCAGCAGCCGCGGUAAGACGGAGGAUGCAAGUGUUAUCCGGAAUCACUGGGCGUAAAGCGUCUGUAGGUGGUCAAAUAAGUCAACUGUUAAAUCCUGAGGCUCAACCUCAAAACCGCAGUCGAAACUAUUAGACUAGAGUAUAGU
rnacentral:rRNA from 1 species